rnacentral:rRNA from 1 species
AUGCGCCAGCUAAGGCUUGUCACCAACAUGAGGGCUCAUAAUGACACCUGGUUUGCGGAUUACUUGCUAAGGGUAGGCAAUGGCACCGAGGAAGUUGACGAACAAGGAAACAUACGACUCCCUGAAGAUAUUUGUGUGCCGUCUACAGGCGAGGGUGAUGACCUGGAGAAGCUGAUUGACCAUGUGUUUCCGAGACUAGAUGACAACAUGACCGAUCCGAAUUACAUGACUUCACGCGCAAUUCUCUCCACCACGAACGACAACGUCGACAAGAUAAACAUACGCAUGGUAGAG